CCCUUGGAGGAGCUCUGGGCCGUCACCCACCUGGAGGAGCUCUGCUCGGCGGCGAUAGAUGCCGCCGGCGCAACAGCACCGCGGAAGCCACCGUCGUUCGUCACCCACCGCUAGGCUCAGGGUGGCCCAUGUUGCCUGAUAUAACAUUCAUCUCAUUCUCAAGUCUCUCCCUCUCCUCUCCUCUCCCCAUCCGCCGCCGCUGCAUCUGCCUGCCCGCUCGCCUUGCUGCCCCGACCGCCGGCUGCCCGUCACCCGACUCCUCCGACACCGGCGCGCCGCCGCCCGUCCGGCAUCCCCUCCGAGGCUCCGACGCCUCCUGCUCCGUGGUUGAUUGAGGCGAAUGACGACUCGGGGGACAAGCUCUGACAAUGCUGCAUUGGGAUCGCAAGAUGUAUGUGUUGUUGGGAUUGCACGCACCCCUAUGGGUGGUUUUCUUGGUGCCUUGUCUUCCUUACCUGCAACCAAACUUGGCUCUAUAGCAAUUCAAGCUGCUCUGAAAAGAGCAAACGUGGAUCCGGCCCUUGUGCAGGAGGUCUACUUUGGAAAUGUCUUGAGUGCUAAUUUGGGACAAGCUCCUGCAAGGCAAGCUGCUCUGGGUGCAGGGAUACCAAACACUGUUGUCUGUACCACUGUUAACAAAGUCUGCGCAUCUGGCAUGAAAGCUACUAUGUUUGCAGCACAGUCAAUUCAACUGGGUAUCAAUGAUAUUGUUGUGGCAGGUGGCAUGGAAAGCAUGUCCAAUGCCCCAAAGUACAUUGCUGAAGCUAGGAAAGGGUCUCGUUUCGGACAUGACACACUUGUCGAUGGCAUGAUUAAGGAUGGCCUUUGGGAUGUAUACGGUGAUUGUGCCAUGGGAAUGUGUGCUGAGCUUUGUGCUGACAAUCAUGCCCUCACAAGAGAAGAUCAGGAUGCUUUUGCUAUCCAAAGCAACGAGUGUGGAAUUGCUGCUCGUGACAGUGGUGCUUUUGCAUGGGAGAUUGUUCCGAUUGAAGUUCCUGUUGGGAGGGGAAAACCACCAGUACUUAUUGAGAAAGAUGAAAGCCUGGACAAGUUUGACCCCGUAAAACUGAAGAAACUCCGCCCAAGUUUCAAGGAGAAUGGUGGUACCGUUACAGCUGGAAAUGCUUCUAGUAUAAGUGAUGGUGCUGCUGCAUUAGUCUUGGUGAGUGGGCAGAAGGCUCGAGAGCUUGGCCUGCAAGUCCUUGCAAGGAUCAAAGGAUAUGCAGAUGCAGCUCAAGCUAUCGCAAAUGCUGGGUUAGAGUCAUCUCAUGUCGAUUUUUAUGAGAUUAAUGAAGCCUUUUCGGCUGUUGCGCUUGCAAAUCAAAAGCUUCUCGGGAUUCCUUCAAUAAGUGACACCUAUAUCAAACUACCAUUCCUUUUAAAACAUCUUUUUCAGAAAAUACACCUUGGUUCGUUUGUUAUUUGCUAUGCAGCAGCAACAUUUAGUAGCAUAUAAUUCUUCAAAACCAUUUAGUAUCACAAUAAUAUAUUAUGAAUUAACAACAAUGUGCUUUCAGGAAAAGAUUAGUGUUCAUGGAGGAGCUGUAUCUUUAGGUCAUCCUCUUGGGUGCAGUGGUGCUCGUAUUUUGGUCACUCUUCUUGGAGUCCUUAGGGAGAAGGGUGGCAAGAUCGGUGUUGCUGGUGUCUGCAAUGGUGGAGGUGGAGCAUCAGCACUUGUUCUUGAGCUCGCAUAAGAAAUACUGACCUUGUGCAAUCGUUCCAGUAGUUAGCACCGGCUUCCUGCGGCGACCUUGUACUAUUAUGUGAUGUUUAUUUAUGUUGUAGCUUGUUGGACAUUCUUAGAUUAAUUCAGCAAUAAAUUGUGUCAUGCUUCAGUUA